CCCAGACUCCUACGGGAGGCAGCAGUGGGGAAUAUUGCACAAUGGGGGAAACCCUGAUGCAGCGACGCCGCGUGGAGGAAGAAGGUCUUCGGAUUGUAAACUCCUGUCCUUGGGGACGAUAAUGACGGUACCUGCAAAGGAAGCACCGGCUAACUCCGUGCCAGCAGCCGCGGUAAUACGGAGGGUGCGAGCGUUAAUCGGAAUUACUGGGCGUAAAGCGCUCGUAGGCGGUAUGUCAAGUCAAGGGUGAAAUCCCCGCGCUCAACGUGGGAACUGCCUUUGAAACUGGCAAACUGGAGUGUGUGAGAGGAUAGUGGAAUUCCAGGUGUAGGAGUGAAAUCCGUAGAUAUCUGGAGGAACAUCAGUGGCGAAGGCGACUAUCUGGCACAUAACUGACGCUGAGGAGCGAAAGCGUGGGUAGCAAACAGGAUUAGAUACCCUUGUA
rnacentral:rRNA from 1 species